AACGCCUGGAUCACCUCCGCCAGGACCACUACGCACAAGAUGCAGCCCAGGGAGGCGUCCCGGGGUAGCGCCGGGACAUGGCCGGCAGGCCCAGCAGAAAGCGCAGGGAAGAGGGCGGGGAAUUAGUGAAUCGAGAACGUGACUAAGGAAGAAGUGAUGCAUAGCAGAGAAAUGAGAGACUGAGAUCAACUGUGACCUUGUCUUCUUCACAAAUAAAGAUGGAAAGCAGGGGGUUCCUCCCCUAGGACCCUACUGCCCUACUGCCCAUCCCAUGCUGGCCUAGCCCUUCUUCCCUGACUCGUGGUCUAUGAACACCACACAGUACCUGUAGUAGUCCUCCUGGGCAGGUAGCGGCACACUGUGCAGCGGGUGAUGGGCAUGCAGCCACUGCUGCUGUUCCAGCGCCAAGCGCUGCAGCUCAGCAGACUGCGCGUGCAUGGCCUGCAGCUGAUGAGCUGCAGACAUCGGGGCAGAGAGGGAGGCUGGCAGGUCCCGGUAAGGGGCAGC